AGUGGCGAACUGGUGAGUAACACGUGGGAAACCUGCCCAGAAGCGGGGGAUAACACCUGGAAACAGAUGCUAAUACCGCAUAACAACUUGGACCGCAUGGUCCGAGCUUGAAAGAUGGCUUCGGCUAUCACUUUUGGAUGGUCCCGCGGCGUAUUAGCUAGAUGGUGGGGUAACGGCUCACCAUGGCAAUGAUACGUAGCCGACCUGAGAGGGUAAUCGGCCACAUUGGGACUGAGACACGGCCCAAACUCCUACGGGAGGCAGCAGUAGGGAAUCUUCCACAAUGGACGAAAGUCUGAUGGAGCAACGCCGCGUGAGUGAAGAAGGGUUUCGGCUCGUAAAACUCUGUUGUUAAAGAAGAACAUAUCUGAGAGUAACUGUUCAGGUAUUGACGGUAUUUAACCAGAAAGCCACGGCUAACUACGUGCCAGCAGCCGCGGUAAUACGUAGGUGGCAAGCGUUGUCCGGAUUUAUUGGGCGUAAAGCGAGCGCAGGCGGUUUUUUAAGUCUGAUGUGAAAGCCUUCGGCUCAACCGAAGAAGUGCAUCGGAAACUGGGAAACUUGAGUGCAGAAGAGGACAGUGGAACUCCAUGUGUAGCGGUGAAAUGCGUAGAUAUAUGGAAGAACACCAGUGGCGAAGGCGGCUGUCUGGUCUGUAACUGACGCUGAGGCUCGAAAGUAUGGGUAGCAAACAGGAUUAGAUACCCUGGUAGUCCAUACCGUAAACGAUGAAUGCUAAGUGUUGGAGGGUUUCCGCCCUUCAGUGCUGCAGCUAACGCAUUAAGCAUUCCGCCUGGGGAGUACGGCCGCAAGGCUGAAACUCAAAGGAAUUGACGGGGGCCCGCACAAGCGGUGGAGCAUGUGGUUUAAUUCGAAGCUACGCGAAGAACCUUACCAGGUCUUGACAUACUAUGCAAAUCUAAGAGAUUAGACGUUCCCUUCGGGGACAUGGAUACAGGUGGUGCAUGGUUGUCGUCAGCUCGUGUCGUGAGAUGUUGGGUUAAGUCCCGCAACGAGCGCAACCCUUAUUAUCAGUUGCCAGCAUUAAGUUGGGCACUCUGGUGAGACUGCCGGUGACAAACCGGAGGAAGGUGGGGAUGACGUCAAAUCAUCAUGCCCCUUAUGACCUGGGCUACACACGUGCUACAAUGGAUGGUACAACGAGUUGCGAACUCGCGAGAGUAAGCUAAUCUCUUAAAGCCAUUCUCAGUUCGGAUUGUAGGCUGCAACUCGCCUACAUGAAGUCGGAAUCGCUAGUAAUCGCGGAUCAGCAUGCCGCGGUGAAUACGUUCCCGGGCCUUGUACACACCGCCCGUCACACCAUGAGAGUUUGUAACACCCAAAGUCGGUGGGGUAACCUUUUAGGAACCAGCCGCCUAAGGUGGGACAGAUGAUUAGGGUGAAGUCGUAACAAGGUAGCCGUAGGAGAACCUGCGGUUGGAUCAC
rnacentral:rRNA from 1 species